rnacentral:rRNA from 1 species
GACGAACGCUGGCGGCGUGCCUAAUACAUGCAAGUCGAGCGGACUUUCAAGAAGCUUGCUUUUUGAAAGUUAGCGGCGGACGGGUGAGUAACACGUGGGCAACCUGCCUGCAAGACGGGGAUAACUCCGGGAAACCGGGGCUAAUACCGGAUAAUAUCUUCCUUCGCAUGAAGGAAGGUUGAAAGGCGGCGCAAGCUGCCGCUUGCAGAUGGGCCCGCGGCGCAUUAGCUAGUUGGUGAGGUAACGGCUCACCAAGGCGACGAUGCGUAGCCGACCUGAGAGGGUGAUCGGCCACACUGGGACUGAGACACGGCCCAGACUCCUACGGGAGGCAGCAGUAGGGAAUCUUCCGCAAUGGACGAAAGUCUGACGGAGCAACGCCGCGUGAGCGAAGAAGGUCUUCGGAUCGUAAAGCUCUGUUGUCAUGGAAGAACAAGUACCGUUCGAACAGGGCGGUACCUUGACGGUACCUGACCAGAAAGCCACGGCUAACUACGUG